UUGAAAGAAAAUUCAUACAGGGGCUGAAUUCAUGCAUGAAGCUUUGAAGAUGAAAUGGUUGCCAGGUCUGGCUGUUUUACAAAGACAAAAGUCAACCAAUAUGUACACAGAACACUGCUAGUUAAAUAAAUUCCUACUAUAACAGAAACCCGCCAGAACACUAAUGGAUGGUGUUAGUGUGUUAUUACCUUGGAAAUAUGAACAUCAUCAAAUACACUUAAAAAUCUGUCCAGUUGC